rnacentral:rRNA from 1 species
UCGUGGAUCGAUUUGUCUGGUUUAUUCCGAUAACGAGCGAGACUCCAGCCUACUAACUAGUGCAAGCAUUGCUUCUGUGCUCUGCACUUCUUAGAGGGAUUGGCUGCUUCCAGCGGCACGAAACGGAGCAAUAACA